UGGUUCGUUGGUGAAGUGAUGCGGUGACACUGUGCUUGGUGAGCGUCACACUCGUGUUUGCGUUGUGCACCCAGCAUGGAGUACUCCCGGGUUAGAGUGCAUGUAUUCGAGGAUAAUGUCCGCUUCUUCAUACUACGUGGAGGUUUGUAAUUUCAUCAACUCCGCAGGCGUCUCCAGCGCCUACACGAAGUGCACCUGAACGACCCUUCUAGGACCAAGACGCAGUUUCUGCUCUGUGGAUAUUCUGCAUGUGUCAGGAUAGGUAGCGGAAAGUAAACCUGGAACAGCUUCUUCCACCAAUGGUGGUCAGUGAUGGGCGGCGCCGAGGACACAUCCAAGGCAUCCAAGAUCCAGCCACGCAAGCGCUGCUUUUUUUUUUUUUUUUUCAAAAGUGGAAGAGCAAGUAGCACUUACCAUUGCAGAACUUGCGUGAACAAAUAGCUGCUGCACUUUGUGUAUUUUAUGCCCACACGGUGUUCGUCACAUCGCACAUGCAAGACCACAUGCACAUUCAGCGAAGGGAUGCCUUUAGUGUGCACCACAUGCCCGGCCGCAUUCAAGCAGAAGGCGCACUGUCAAGUGCUACGGCUGCACCUACAAGCACCGAUGUGAUCCUUGCCAGAAUCUUGUGCUGUGCAAUGUGUUUCUCUUCAAGUGUUGGCACCAUUUUUUGGGAGGGAAUCGGCAUGAAGGAGUGAUGUGUUGUGCGAUUUGAUUGCACAUGCAUUUUUAGGUUGAGUGCCAGCUCCAUUUUUCAUAAAUUGACAUCAGUGAGGGCACUGCCCAGUAGUGUGAAGCUAGUCGUACGAAUAUUGCAAGCUAUGUUGCAAAAGAUGUGAAACCUUGCAAAACUAUUUUCUUUUUCUCUUUUCUUAAAUCACAUUGCUCAAAGGUCUCUGUGUGUAUUCCUGAUUCACAUUGCUUUAGGAUUUGAGUGUCUGUCCCACAUUCAGAUUGCUUAAUGUCUAGUCAGCUUGUGCGAAUUUCUUUUUUUGUUGCAGCAUAAUCGUUGGUAUUGCCAAAUUUUUCUCUAUGUGAAACAACAUCUUGGCUUCCUAAAAACCGCUAAUGGAAUAUUCUACAAAGAACCUUGCUGAAGAAUUGAUAGUACUAUAAAGAAAAAUUUCUAUAUGGUGAACAAGUGUUGGUUAAUACGAUCAUAAAGCCACUUUCAUGUCUCGUUUCCUGGCACUGUUUUAAAUUUUGAAAUCAUGUACCAGCUAACCAGCAACAAAACUCUCCUAAAGUGGCUUUAGGACACACUUGUUUGAGUUCUGCAUGUGGGCUUCCCCACGCAUCUUGUUUGACCCAAUCACGAUGGCAGACAUUGAUCUAGAAAGAUAAAUAAGGUGAGAGCAUGCAUUGUAAUCUGGCUAUGCCUGCUGCGUUCCUCCUUGCACAAUCCAUGCCCUUGGAAAUCAUACUGUAAUGUCAACAUCGCUACUAGUUGGAGGACAGCCAUGUUGUCCAGGGGAAGUGAGAUGCGUAGGAAAGCCUUUAUGGAAUUUUGCCUAUCUUACAUUAUAGGUUGAUUAGCUUUUGAAGAAUAGAAAAUUUCUAUUGCUCACUCUUUAUGGUGUGCAGUUUUGUUGCAAAGCCUAGUGCAAAGGUCUAGCGUGAAUUUCCUUUAAUGUUGCGAGCAUGCUGCUUUCAUGUUGUGAAUGCUAUGCUACACUUGAACUUGCAUGGCAUUCCUGAUGAGAAAUUACUUCACACAAAGCUUUAGGGUGAGGAACUAACAAGACCGGCGAGAGUUAUUUUUCUGUGAAAAAAAUGACAAAUAGCAAUGACGCCCUAAAAGAUCGACAUGGUUUCAAGAGAGUAAAGGGAGGGAUGACAGGCACGGGUUUCAUUGAGGCAAGACAUGCUAUUGUGGAAGGAAGGUUGAAGACUUAAUGUUGAGAAGUAAUCCUCUGUAGAAACUGUUUCAUGCAGGAACCUUCGUACCAUUAUAUCAACACUGCAUGAAGUGCAUUGACUUUCCUAGCUCCAUUUUUUGUUUGCAUUGCUGCAGAUUGAGUAUGCCUCAUAUGUAGAUGGCUACUUAUUUGCUGCUUUAACUCACAUGUGGGGUUUUCACAUUUUUGCACAACUUAGCCAAAGCACCCUGUAUAAAACGCAGUUGACAGAAGUAAAAAACAAAUGUAUAUCGUAGAAAUAAACAAACAGUUUGAAAGAAUAA
rnacentral:lncRNA from 1 species